GUUCCCUUCCGCAUAUAUUCCGUUAUGAAGAUAUUACUCUGGCUUGGGUCGAUCCUUUCUUGUGCAAAAUUAGCUAAGCACACAAACGGGCCGCACCACCAUGUACAUGAAAAUGGGGCUGGAGAGAGAGAGAGAGAGAGAGCGCGCGGGGGCUGGAUGCAUAUGCUUUCACUCAGCCCUUCACUCACUUUCUCCUAUUAGUUUGUUCCAGAUUGAGAGACUGAUCAGCUCCCCAGCUCUUUCUUUUCCGGAGAUUGAGUGGUCCCGAGUGGGGAACAACGGUGGCCCCGCUACGGCUGCACCACAUGCACCACUGCUGCUACUCCCGUGCUGGGUGAGGUGCAUGGAGGGAGGCUAUGCACACUACUCCAUUCCCGUCUGCUGGUCUCUUCUGUGUGAGGGUGGUGAUCGGAUGGUGAAAGAAGGAGAGAGAGAGAGAGGGAAGGAAAGGCGCAUGGGAAAGGGACAACUUUCUCUCUCCAACGAGCAGCAGGUCACAUGUGGUUCGGGUGGUUCACACUUUCUCCUCCAAUCCAACCACUACUCACCAGUCCUCCUUUGGCACUACCACCACUGCUCGACUCCAAGAAACUGCAGUUACAUUGCACCCUCUUUAAAGAAGCCUUGUUGUUGUUGUUGUUAUUAUUAUUAGCGAUAAUAAAAUAACAAUGGGUGCCUCCAUCCUCUGGGUGUUAUAACGGUCGAGUGAGGUUAGAAAGUCCAAUUUUACCUGCAUCUCCCCCUCGUCGCUCGCUCGCUCAAUUCGUCAUUACCUUGAGAGAACCACUCACAGCAAUAAGCUCACAUCACCUUACACUAGCCGCAACUAACCUUUCACAUCAAUCAUGACUGAUAAUCAGAGGAGAAUUGUUCAAAAGGAGCCGUCCACAACGGGAGGAGCCUUGCCGUUCAACGACCUCAUGGCGGUGGACGACACGGACCUCACAGACCUUCCCCCACCAAUCACUGCCGCCACGGCCGAGCUGGGCUAUAUCAACCAGGUCUCCGAGAUCGUGGUGAAGCAGGGCGUGAGCCUUCGCGAGCUGCAGCCCAACGACAAGGAGCCCUCCAUGUACUCCAUCGAAGAGAAGGGGACGGGGGAGAAGCUGUACAAAGUCUACGAGGACACGGCCACGUGCGUCGUGUGUGGGCCCAACCGGUCCUUCAAGCUGAGACUCAUGGACACUCAGGACAGGGAGCUCAUCCAGGUGGAGAGGCCCUACAUCUCGUGCGACUACUGUUGUGGCAUCACCUCCUUUUUCGACAUUGUCAACGUCUGGGUGCGAAACUACAAGAGCAAGCAGUUCGAGUGGAGACGCUUUGGUCAAAUUCGACAAUUUUGGUGCCCCCUCUUCCCAUACUUCAGCGUCCGAAAUGCUGUGGGACAAUCCGAGCUCACGAUUCGCGCCCCCCUCUUAACCUCGGCGUGUCUACGACCAGUUGUGUUCCCCAUCAAGCAUGGAGGCGAAGUUGUUGGGAGCAUCACGAAACAACGUGGCCUAUCCUGUCGUGAGUACCCUUCAAACACGGAAAUGUACACCAUGAAAUUUCCUCCGGGUAUUGAUGAGAAGUUGAAAGUGACGCUGAUCGGGACUCUGCUGCUCAUCCACUUUAAAUUUUAUGAGACUUCCUGUCACUGUUGUCGAGGUUGAGACCAGUGAGUUGACAGGCGGCUGCUGAAAGUGGGUACAUUAUCCGGUGCACAAUCAAGUUCAUCGUCGUCAACUACAAACAAACCAACGAACGAACUAUUAUCCAUCGAACUAUCGACUAUCCAUCAUCCUGAUCCUGAUGAUAUUUCCUGCUGCCCUUCUCCCCCUCAACCAACCCCACUCGCUGCUAUGCUGUCAUCAUGCUCUCCGGCUGCUUCUUCUCCUCUCUCCUACCUACAUAAACUACUUGUUCAAUAAUACUGACCAAAGGUUGGCGUCGUGUGCUUUCACUCACUCAUCAUCGAUCCUCUCUCUCACACACACUCUCUCUCUCUUUCUCUCUCUAUCUCUCUCUCUCAUUGACUUGGGACACUUUCGUCUCAUCAACAAAUUCAAUAAUAGAAACAUAAGAAUGCUGGUACACAAAUCCUGACAUUGACUGAUGUCACAGUCGUAAAAACAAUAUAUGGAUUCAGUCAGACAAUAGAGUGCAAUUAUUAUUAUUAUGCAAAUUAAUUAAGUAGGUCCGCAGUUGGCGCAGUCAGUAUUAUUAGAAUAAGUGGCUAUCUGUAUGAACAUUAUAAGGAAUAGAUGAAGAGAUGAGUAUAUCGAUAGUCAUAGAUGACGCUAUUUUCAAAUUUACAUAAAUACGGAUACCACUGCUAUCACUACUACUAGAACUAAAUAUUUACUACAGAACAGCAACGUGCAAUUCUUAUUCUUAAGAAACUGUAAAUGUCGGAUGCAUAUUAGUGACUUAUUCCUGCAAUUAACUUUUGUGACUUAAACAAAUGCAAAAGAUUAUGAUAUCGGUGUUGUUGUUGUUAUUGUCGUCGUUGUUCUUGUUGUUGAAAUCAUGUCAAAGUCAUUCAAUUAUUAACUGAGCAUUUCAAAAAGAUAAUAAUAAUGAUAAAUAUACGGUCAGUCAGUCAGUGUGUGAAAAAGUUUGACAUUUAUUACAUACGCUUUCGAGUGGGUUGAGGAGCUGUUGUUUGCUAUUAAUUAGCUAAUUAUGGAGAUGACAAAUAUUUAGUUAGCUUAUUAAUUAGUAGUUUUCUAUAUAUGUAUCGACUAGAUGUAUGUAUGUAUGUAUCUACAUGUAUCGAAUAUUGUUGAAUUUAUUAGUUCAGAAUGAAUUUAGUCUGAUGCUGUUGACGAUGACGACGAGAGUUUCUUGAGGCAAUCGGGUGGUGCUGGAUUACACCCCAUUGCCACGUACAGACAAUUAUAGCCAACAAAUCCUGAAUCUUCCGUAUAGCUAAUUAAUUAACGGAUUAAUUAAUUAGCUCAUCCUUGCAUAGCUUAUAAAUUCAUUAUCAUCAAAUCAAGUACAUACAACGAGAAGUGAGAACAACAUUUCUAUCCUUCAUUAUAGAAAAAAAAACCUUACAUAGCAUUUGCCUAUUAUCAUAACCUCCUCUCUCUCUAUGUACACACAAUACAUAUGUAGAUUAUUAUUGAACAUAGACUAUUGAAGGUUCAUCAAUCAUGUUAGUUUGCAGGUUAAAAACAAACGACAAACUUUAGAAGAUUAAGUAAAAAUGCUGUAUAGCUAACUUAGGUGAAUCAAGAAAAGCGAGCACAAAACAAUGAAACAGAUCUCUUAUAGAAGUUUAUUUUUUUGAAAUUAUAUCGAAAAUUUGUCUAAUUGUAGGAUUUAGAUCAAAUUUUGUAAUUAAUCAAUAAAACCUUAAUGAAUUUAUAAAACUA